AUUGAACGCUGGCGGCAUGCCUUACACAUGCAAGUCGAACGGUAACAGGUCUUCGGAUGCUGACGAGUGGCGAACGGGUGAGUAAUACAUCGGAACGUGCCUAGUAGUGGGGAUAACUACUCGAAAGAGUGGCUAAUACCGCAUGAGAUAUACGGAUGAAAGAAGGGGAUCGCAAGACCUUGUGCUACUAUAGCGGCGGAUGGCAGAUUAAGUAGUUGGUGGGAUAAAAGCUUACCAAGCCGACUAUCUGUAGCUGGUCUGAGAGGACGAACAGCCACACUGGGACUGGGACACGGCCCAGAGUCCUACGGGAGGCAGCAGUGGGGAAUUUUGGACAAUGGGCGCAAGCCUGAUCCAGCAAUGCCGCGUGCAGGAUGAAGGCCUUCGGGUUGUAAACUGCUUUUGUACGGAACGAAAAGCCCUGGGUUAAUACCCUGGGGUCAUGACGGUACCGUAAGAAUAAGCACCGGCUAACUACGUGCCAGCCGCCGCGGUAAUAC
rnacentral:rRNA from 1 species